rnacentral:rRNA from 1 species
CCUACGGGCGGCAGCAGUGAGGAAUAUUGGUCAAUGGACGAGAGUCUGAACCAGCCAAGUAGCGUGAAGGAUGACUGCCCUCUGGGUUGUAAACUUCUUUUAUAUGGGAAUAAAAUGUUCCACGUGUGGGAUUUUGUAUGUACCAUAUGAAUAAGGAUCGGCUAACUCCGUGCCAGCAGCCGCGGUAAUACGGAGGAUCCGAGCGUUAUCCGGAUUUAUUGGGUUUAAAGGGAGCGUAGGUGGAUUGUUAAGUCAGUUGUGAAAGUUUGCGGCUCAACCGUAAAAUUGCAGUUGAAACUGGCAGUCUUGAGUACAGUAGAGGUGGGCGGAAUUCGUGGUGUAGCGGUGAAAUGCUUAGAUAUCACGAAGAACUCCGAUUGCGAAGGCAGUUCACUGGACUGCAACUGACACUGAGGCUCGAAAGUGUGGGUAUCAAACAGGAUUAGAUACCCGUGUAGUC